UUUCUUUAUCUGUUUGGGAUUCUUGUUGUUUCCUUCUGGGGACUUUGUUGGACUCCUCUGCUUUAUUGACUUUAAGUGUGCUCCUUUCUCAUAUGAACGGGCUUUUGACUUCAAUACUUCAAUUGUAUUCCCUUGUUCUCCAGGUGGGUGCCUGACUGCGGAUUCAUCCUCAUUCUCCAGGUGGACGCCUGACUUCUUCAACUCUUUGUCCUCGUUCUCCAGGUGGACGCCUGACUUCUUCGAUUCUUAUCCUCAUUCUCCAGGAGGACACCUGACUUCUUUUAAUUCUUCAUC
rnacentral:lncRNA from 1 species